ensembl:lncRNA
CCUCGUGCCAGGGGCGGGGGAGCCGAAUUUGGACGCUUUGGAGUCGAAUCCGUUCCGCAGCCGCCGGCAGCGCCAGGAGUGGGAAGUGAAAGCGCUGCUGGAAAAGGUAAAAAAAUCCCCAAAAUUCCCAAAUUUCCCAAAUUCCCAAGAUUUUUUAAUCCCAAGAUUUAUUUCCUGAUCCUUUGAGAUCCCAAAUUCCCCAUUUUCCCCCCUCAUUCCCAUUUUUCCCCAAAAAAUUCCCAAUUCUCCCCCAAAAUUCCCAUUUUACCUCCCAAAAUUCCCAAUUUUCUCCCCCAAAAUCCCAUUUUCCCCCAAAAUUCCCAAUUUUCCCCAAAAAUUUCCCAUUUUUCCCUAUAAAAAUUCACAUUUUUCUUCAAAAAAUUCCCAUUUUUCCCCAUAAAUUUUCACUUCCCUUUCCCCAAAUCCCCAUUUUCCCCUCCAAAUUCCCAUUUUUCCCCCCCAAAUCCCCAUUUUCCCCUCCAAAUUNNNNNNNNNNNNNNNNNNNNCCAGGUUUAUUCCCUCCUGGAUUCCGGGUCCCCCCCGAGGCCGUUCCUGCAGCACCGAACCCCAAAUUCCCUCCAGGGGCUGCGAUUCUGCCCCUUCCAGGACGUCCUGGGCGCCGGCCACGGGCAGGGAUUCACCAGCAUCCUGGUGCCAGGGGCGGGGGAGCCGAAUUUGGACGCUUUGGAGGCGAAUCCGUUCCGCAGCCGCCGGCAGCGCCAGGAGUGGGAAGUGAAAGCGCUGCUGGAAAAGAUCCCGUGGCAGCUGCUGACCCCGGAGCCGUCGCUGCUCUCGCGCGUGGACGAGGCCGGGCUGGAGCAGAAACGGCGCGAGAGGAUCCAGCGCCUGGUAACGGCCCCAAAUCCUGGGAAUUUCACCCCAAAAUCUGGGAAUUUCACCCAAAAUCUGGGAAUUCUCACCCAAAAUCCCGGGAAUUCCACCCAAAAUCCUGGGAUUCUGACCCAAAAUCUGGGAAUUUCACCCAAAAUCCUGGGAUUCUGACCCAAAAUCUGGGAAUUCUGACCCAAAAUCUGGGAAUUUCACCCAAAAUCUGGGAAUUUCACCCAAAAUCCCGGGAAUUUCACCCAAAAUCCUGGGAUUCUCACCCAAAAUCAGGGAAUUCUGAUCCAAAAUCAGGGAAUUCUCACCCCAAAUCAGGGAAUUUCACCCAAAAUCCUGGGAUUCUCACCCAAAAUCUUGGGAAUUUCACCCAAAAUCCCGGAAUUCUGACCCAAAAUCUGGGAAUCUGACCCAAAAUCCCGGGAAUUUCACCCAAAAUCCUGGGAUUCUCACCCAAAAUCCCGGGAAUUUCACCCAAAAUCCCGGAAUUCUGACCCAAAAUCUGGGAAUUCUCACCCCAAAUCCCAAAAAUCCCACAGAAAUCGUGAGAUUCUGAUCCAAAAUCCCGGAAUUCUCACCCAAAAUCCCACAAAAAUCCCGGGAAUUUCACCCAAAAUCCUGGGAAUUCUGACCCAAAAUCUGGGAAUUCUCACCCAAAAUCUGGGAAUUCUGAUCCAAAAUCCCGGAAUUUCACCCAAAAUCUGGGAAUUCUGACCCAAAAUCCCGGGAAUUUCACCCAAAAUCCUGGAAUUCUGACCCAAAAUUCCGGGAAUUCCCCCCAAAAUCCCGGGAUUCUGUCCCAGCCCCUCCCCCGCCCAUUCCCGAUUUUUUCCCAGGGAUUCCCCCCAAAAUCCCGGGAAUUUCACCCAAAAUCCCAGAAUUCUGACCCAAAAUCUGGGAAUUCCCCUCAGAAUCCCGGGAUUCUCUCCCAGCCCCUCCCCUGCCCAUUCCCGGUUUUUCCCAGGGAUUCCCCCCCAAAAUCCCAGAAU